rnacentral:rRNA from 1 species
AGCGGGAAGUAGUUUACUACUUCGCCGGCGAGCGGCGGACGGGUGAGUAAUGUCUGGGAAACUGCCUGAUGGAGGGGGAUAACUACUGGAAACGGUAGCUAAUACCGCAUAACGUCUUCGGACCAAAGUGGGGGACCUUCGGGCCUCACGCCAUCGGAUGUGCCCAGAUGGGAUUAGCUAGUAGGUGGGGUAAUGGCUCACCUAGGCGACGAUCCCUAGCUGGUCUGAGAGGAUGACCAGCCACACUGGAACUGAGACACGGUCCAGACUCCUACGGGAGGCAGCAGUGGGGAAUAUUGCACAAUGGGCGCAAGCCUGAUGCAGCCAUGCCGCGUGUGUGAAGAAGGCCUUCGGGUUGUAAAGCACUUUCAGCGAGGAGGAAGGCCAAUAACUUAAUAGGUUGUUGGAUUGACGUUACUCGCAGAAGAAGCACCGGCUAACUCCGUGCCAGCAGCCGCGGUAAUACGGAGGGUGCAAGCGUUAAUCGGAAUUACUGGGCGUAAAGCGCACGCAGGCGGUUUGUUAAGUCAGAUGUGAAAUCCCCGCGCUUAACGUGGGAACUGCAUUUGAAACUGGCAAGCUAGAGUCUUGUAGAGGGGGGUAGAAUUCCAGGUGUAGCGGUGAAAUGCGUAGAGAUCUGGAGGAAUACCGGUGGCGAAGGCGGCCCCCUGGACGAAGACUGACGCUCAGGUGCGAAAGCGUGGGGAGCAAACA